rnacentral:lncRNA from 1 species
UUGAGAGGCCUCUUGCUGGUUUUGCAGGUGAGAAAAUAGCCUAGGCCAUCGAAGAAAUGAUGAUUUUGUGAGUGUCAUGGAACCCCUUGCAAUCAUCUAGGAUUUCACAAGAUAUAAGGAGAACAGCUGUGGAAGAUGAGGAGACAAAUACAAAGGUAUCAGAAGAUACCCAAAGAGAAGCAGCCCGGUUCUCAUAAUAUGUUAUAGCAUACUGAGAGAGAAAGCUAAGAAUUCUACUCUU